AAAGGCAAUAAUACUCUAUCAGUUGCUUUGGUUCUGAUCCUGGGAUAUAGUAAUAUCUUAAAGUGAUAAACACAAUGGUUUCUUCACCUUUGGAUAUCUACUUCACAAGUCAAUACAUGUGUCCCUUUUGUGAUUUUAUGACACAUUCAUUAUAAGGGUUAUGAAAGUGAUUUCCUAUCACAUAGGAAAAUGCUUUCUUAAAUCUUCAACAUUUGAGAUUUAAUUCCCAUAUAACAUUAUUUGAGAUAGCCUUGCUAUAUCAAUAAGUCCAAUUUCAAGUUUAUACUUCAAAAUUGACCGUGUCAUGUUUUUUCAUUUUCGAGUAACAUCUAUGUUUCAUCAAGUCUAUCAAAUAGACUUUAUUCACAUCAUGUUGCUCAAAUUAUGACAUCACUCCCACUGGCCUUGUUGUAACUUAGCAUUCAUUCAAAAAUAACAAUUAGAUUUUCUAGAUUUGAAUGCAUAUUGCUCCCACUAACUUGUCUUGGAUCCAUUG
rnacentral:lncRNA from 1 species